UAAGGUUCAAAUGUACCAGUCAAUUGUACAACCGAUGAUUAGUGAUAUCCUUGACGGAUAUUACUUCACAAUUAUAGCCUGUGGCCAAACUGGUUCAGGCAGUACUUUUACAAUGGAAGGGGAGAUACCAAAUGGACCUCUUCCUUGGGACGCUUGUCAAUGUGGACAGGGCUCCCGAAAAGUUUCAAAUGGAACUGAUCGACCUUCAGUGCAACAAUGACUU